AACUCAGCAACUUUUCCUCUGGACGAGUUUUGAUAAAUCUCCUGCAUAGUACAGAAGACUGUUCAUUCACUAUUCCAGGGCCCAGAGCGCGAAUGUCGGCGUCACAUCAGGCACGCAGAACAUUUUCCAUCUGAGAGACAAAGACGCCUUUAUACACCUCCUGAAAAUGACUGAAUUUGUGGUAAAAACUGCAGAAUCGCAAUGGUGCCGCAACAGUACUGC